UCCUUCCCUCUCCCUCCCCCAAGCCAUCAUUACAAUGGUUGAACUUUCCGGGUGAAUGAACUGCACAUUAUGCAGAAGAGGACGGGUGGAAAAUGCUGAUAAGUGAAGCUGUUGAGAAGGAACAGCGUGACAGCACCAUGGAAACGGGCACAGACAAGUGCUUGCUUUUUGAGGCUUUGUACAGAUAGCCUGCAAAUUAGCAUGCAGGUAGAGUCACAGCUCCCUGAAUUGUCUGUGGUGCCAUCCUAUUUCAAGAAAACAGAGGGCAGUAAGGGCUGAGCGCACGUUCAAUCACACUCAAGAGGAAAAGCUGCCUAAGAUCACUGGACAUUAGUUUUCCUGUUAUCUCAGCUUUCUGAGGAUGCAACCACACAGCAGGGAAAAUGCAAUUGGAUCCACCAUGAAUUUGCACCCAGGACGGGUAGAUUUCCCCAAGUUAAUUCACUUCAGCUGACUACACGGGACUCAGCAGAAAAGGGGAAGGAAAUUGGCAGUCAUCCUUGUUUGCAGCUUGCUAAUGUAGCUCUGUUGUGGCUGUCCAUAUUUGCAGGAGGCACAAUCACAGCAGAGCUGUCCUAACAAGCUGCAAAAAGAAAGAAAGAAAGAAAGAAAGAAAGAAAGAAAGAAAGAAAGAAAGAAAGAAAGAAAGAAAGAAAGAAAGAAAGAAAGAAAGAAAGAAAGAAAGAAAGAAGACUGACUAAUAACUGUCCCUAAUCUAUGAGCUGCCCAGGCACAAGAAGAACAUGGUAUGGACAUGCUGAUUUCACCUUCCUCCUAGUUCAUGCUACUCUCUAUAGAUGGAAAGAGUCUACUGCAGAAAGUUACAUGUUGUCUCUCAAAAAAUCAAACAGCAUGGGAAACCUCCACAGAUAGAACAUGCCACUGCAGUCAUCUUUCCCAUGCAGACAGUGAAGAAAAUGAGAGGAGGGAGAAUGCCCCCUAGCCUGCAAAACAGAGGUUUCUGCAAUGUGGUAUCCAGAUGUUUUGGAAGUUCAUCUCCCAGAAGUCCUGUCCAAUAUGGCCAAUGGCAGGACAGUAACUAGAGCAGGACAAAUGGAGCUUCGCCCCAAGGAGCCCAAAUUUAGAAUGCAUGGAAAUCUAGAGGUGAAUCUGCUGCUGAGCGUUAGGAAAAUAAACCUCCC